CUUUGUUGAAUAACUCCAUAGCAGCCCACUUACAGCAUGGGAAACAUAUUGUGCCCAUAUGGUAAUUCUAAAUCUGUCGAUAUAUUCCUGCGUGGAUGUUAUUUUGUACAGAUCUGUGUUUUGUUCAUAUCGUUGUGUUUUUACAGCAAAAGAGAAGGAAGGUGCAGUUUGCGGAGUGGUGGCUUGGCUGUGUGACCUCAUACUUCUGUAUUUAUGGAUAGAAACACAAAAAUCAGACAGCAGCUCAUAAGCGUGCUGAGUCGAUCUGGCUCUAGGCUUCCGUUCCCACAGACUCCUUUCCCCUCAGCUCACAGCAGUAUCCUGCAAGAUGCUUCCGG